GACCCAGUAGCUUAACGGACAAAGCGGCUCUCUUCUAAAGAGUAGACUGGUGGUUCGAUUCCACCCUGGGUCACAA
rnacentral:tRNA from 3 species